GCUUCACCAAUCUUCCCAUCAGCCCUUUUGGUUUUCUCCCGCYGACCAGAGAGGAGUUUAGAGCGCUUAAGAGUUACUUUAACCAGGGGUUACCUGUUUAUCUCAGCACAAAUGCUCCAAACACUCCUCUGUGAGGUCUUCUUGUCUCAAGGAGCCUCGGGAUGGGAGAGCUCAAGAAAACAGCAUGUCAUGACAGAGCUGCCCUGUAGUGGGAUGUAUAAGGUUCCAGYUGGACUGAAAGGCUGACAUCAUUUACAGGUGGUCUGGCUGAGCCUCAUCUGAAAUGUGGCUCCUCUCCAGUGCAGCCUCAGUUUUCAGACUGGCCUUGUCUUCUGGAGCUGAUCCUUGUCCAGUAGUGCAUGUGAUUGACUGAAAGGCGGUCUGGCUGAGCCUCAUCUGAAAUGUGACUCCCCUCCAGUGUGGCUGACUGAAAGGACUGGAUGCGGAUCGGCUGCAGUUGUUGCCCUGGUACAUGUGUGCUCAACCUGGUGAACCAGUGAAAGGUCAUGUGAAGAGUCGGUCCUCCUGCCAGACCUCAAGUCAUUUCCACGUUCUGCUUUCUGCACCAACAGAUUAAUAAUCCUGCUGGCCUGAACAGUUGCCACGGACACUGUUAGAUGAUUUAUAAGGACUUUCCUGCUUCUCAUCACUGCUGAUUGUAACAAAACUAAAUAAAGACGUCAAACUGUU